rnacentral:rRNA from 2 species
GACGAACCGUGCGAACGUUGUUCGGAAUCACUGGGCUUAAAGGGCGCGUAGGCGGUUCAUCAAGUCAGGGGUGAAAUCUUUCGGCUUAACCGGAAAAGUGCUUCUGAUACUGAUGAUCUCGAGGGAGGUAGGGGUCCGCGGAACUUCUGGUGGAGCGGUGAAAUGCGUUGAUAUCAGAAGGAACGCCGGUGGCGAAAGCGGCGGACUGGAUCUCUUCUGACGCUGAGGCGCGAAAGCUAGGGGAGCAAACGGG